GACGAACGCUGGCGGCGUGCUUAACACAUGCAAGUCGAACGGAAAGGCCCUGCUUUUGUGGGGUGCUCGAGUGGCGAACGGGUGAGUAACACGUGAGUAACCUGCCCUUGACUUUGGGAUAACUUCAGGAAACUGGGGCUAAUACCGGAUAGGAGCUCCUGCUGCAUGGUGGGGGUUGGAAAGUUUCGGCGGUUGGGGAUGGACUCGCGGCUUAUCAGCUUGUUGGUGGGGUAGUGGCUUACCAAGGCUUUGACGGGUAGCCGGCCUGAGAGGGUGACCGGCAACAUUGGGACGGAGAUACGGCCCAGACUCCUACGGGAGGCAGCAGUGGGGAAUAUUGCACAAUGGGCGGAAGCCUGAUGCAGCAACGCCGCGUGCGGGAUGACGGCCUUCGGGUUGUAAACCGCUUUCGCCUGUGACGAAGCGUGAGUGACGGUAAUGGGUAAAGAAGCACCGGCUAACUACGUG
rnacentral:rRNA from 1 species